CAGAAAGACGAGGCCUUAACAACAACAAAUAUAAACUAACAUGGGCUCAGACCUAAAGUUUGGAGGGUACUUUGGGGGGAGUGUGAUUGCAAAUGGUAUUGAAUUUUAAUUUUAUGUAGAAAAUUAAUUUGAAUUAUAUAGUUCUGUUUUCAAGGUAAACCUGGUUGUAUAAAAUGAAUGUGGAGGUGUUUAUUUCUCUGUUCUUUCCUGAAAGUGUUUGUGUAGAAUUUGGAUUAUUUCUUCCUGUGUAUAUUGGAGAAAUUGCCAAUGCAACAAUGUGGAUGUGGAAUUCCCUUUGAUAGAAUAUUUUCAUUUAUAGUUGAAGGGCAAUUUAAGUUGUCUCUUUCUCUUCAAAUGACUUUUAGCAAUGUGUGUAUUUCCCAGAAUAAGUUUUGAAACCAAUGAA